UACGGGGGGAGCAAGCGUUGUUCGGAUUUACUGGGCGUAAAGGGCGCGUAGGCGGCGUGACAAGUCACUUGUGAAAUCUCCGGGCUUAACUCGGAACGGUCAAGUGAUACUGUCGUGCUAGAGUACAGAAGGGGCAACUGGAAUUCUCGGUGUAGCGGUGAAAUGCGUAGAGAUCGGGAGGAACACCUGUGGCGAAGGCGGCCACCUGGGCCGACCCUGACGCUGAGGCGCGAAGGCGUGGGGAGCGAACGGG
rnacentral:rRNA from 1 species